AGGUUUCCUGAAAAUUCUGAAGAAAUUUAAAGAACUAAAAUAUUUUCAUUAAGACAUGGAUUAGAAAUUUUAAACAAUGUCAAUUCUAAUAAAAGCGUGACUACAUUAAAAACAGGAAUAACUUCUGGUAGGAAACAGAAUUGUCUACUACUAUAUUAUUUUAACUUAUAACAUAUAAAAGUGGAUUUAUUCAAUUAAAGUUUUGUUUUAUUA